AAGAGACUUAUUUGCAAUAGUCCUGACAAUCUCCAGGCUCAGUCUAUUGAAGAGCUGAAACAGCAGAAGUCGUAUCUGAAGCUGUUAAAGAACCAGGGUAAAGAACUCAGAGAGCUCCGUAAGAAACACCUGAAGAAGGUAUGGUCCCUGAGUAAGGAGCAGAAGACUCGCUUUAGCCAGCUCCACUCUGACACACAGAAACAACGCAGUCAGAUGGAGAAACACCUGAAAUCAGCAUGAAGAAGAAUCAGUCAGCAGAGCCGGUGCAGAGGCAGCUGACCAGCGUUUGGAGGUGGAGCUACAGAAAACAGACAGUGCAGCUCAGGGAGUGGCGAAUGGAUGAGCUUCUCAAACUACGACAACAACAACACUCACGGAGAGAAAGAAGAGACACACACACCUACGAGAGCUGUCUCAGAAACUAGAGGAGACGGCCCAGGAAUGCCAGCCGGCUCAACUGAAAAAACUCAAGGACAUCUGUGCUAGAGAGAAGAAGGAGCUUCAGAAGAUUCUAGACAGGAAGAGACAGAACAGCAUCAUCGGGCCAAGAGCAGAGACCGAGAGCAAGGCC